rnacentral:rRNA from 1 species
UACGGAGGAUGCAAGCGUUAUCCGGAAUUAUUGGGCGUAAAGCGUCCGUAGGUGGCUGGUCAAGUCUGCUGUCAAAGCGUGGAGCUCAACUCCAUAUCGCGGUGGAAACUGACGAGCUAGAGUGCGAUAGGGGUAGCAGGAAUUCCAGUGUAGCGGUGAAAUGACGUAGAUAUCGGGAGGAACACCAGUGGCGAAGGCGACUACCUGCCU